UGCGUAAUAGCUCACUAGUCAAGCGACUCGGCGUCGAUAAUAAUCGGGCAUAAGUCAUCUGCCGAAGCUGUGGGAUAGAGAUAUCGGUAGGGGAGCAUUCCAGUCAGCGUAGAAGGAGUCCUGUGAGGGGCUUUGGAGCGGUUGGAAGCGAAACUGUAGGCAUGAGUAACGAUAAGACAGGUGAAAAACCUGUCCACCGUAAACCCAAGGGUUCCUGAUCAACGCUAAUCGGAUCAGGGUUAGUCGAGACCUAAGGUGUACCCGGUGAUGCCGGGGAAGCUGAUGGCAAAGCGGUUAAAUAUUCCGCUACCCUAGCAAACGCUAGGCUAAGGCGUGACGCAGAAGUGACACUCCCGCGUGCGGACGAAUGCACGUUGAAGGGUGUAGGCUAGAGAGUAGGCAAAUCCGCUCUCUGUGAAGGCUGAACCCCGACAGUACCCGGAGUCUUCGGACGAAGGGAUAGUGGAGGUAAUCCUGCUGCCAAGAAAAGCGUCGUAGUUUGUUUGUUAGGCUCGUACCCCAAACCGACACAGGUGGGUGAGGAGAGUAUCCUCAGGUGCUCGAGUGAAUCAUGGCUAAGGAACUAGGCAAAUUAGAUCCGUAACUUCGGGAGAAGGAUCCCCCUGGCAACAGGGGCGCAGUGAAAAGGCCCAAGCGACUGUUUACCAAAAACACAUGUCUCUGCUAAGCCGUAAGGCGAUGUAUAGGGACUGACACCUGCCCGGUGCCGGAAGGUUAAAGAAGGGGGUUAUCUUCGGAGAAGCUCUUGACUGAAGCCCCGGUAAACGGCGGCCGUAACUAUAACGGUCCUAAGGUAGCGAAAUUCCUUGUCGGGUAAGUUCCGACCUGCACGAAUGGUGUAACGACUUGGGCACUGUCUCGGCCAUGAGCUCGGUGAAAUUGUGGUAUCGGUGAUGACGCCGAUUACCCGCAGCGGGACGAAAAGACCCCGUGAACCUUUACUAUAACUUUACAUUGGCUUCGGUAAUAACAUGUGUAGGAUAGGCGGGAGACUAUGAACUUCUAGCGCCAGCUAGGGGGGAGUCACCCUUGAAAUACCGCCCUUGUUAUUGCUGGUGUCUAACCCUUACGGGGACAGUGUAUGGUGGGUAGUUUGACUGGGGCGGUCGCCUCCUAAAUUGUAACGGAGGCUCCCAAAGGUACCCUCAGUACGGUCGGCAAUCGUACUUAGAGUGUAAAAGCAAAAGGGUG
rnacentral:rRNA from 1 species